rnacentral:rRNA from 1 species
UUAAGCGACUAAGCGUACACGGUGGAUGCCCUGGCAGUCAGAGGCGAUGAAGGACGUGCUAAUCUGCGAAAAGCGCCGGCGAGGUGAUAUGAACCCUUGACCCGGCGAUGUCCGAAUGGGGAAACCCAGUGUGAUUCGUCACACUAUCGUUAACUGAAUACAUAGGUUAACGAGGCGAACCGGGGGAACUGAAACAUCUAAGUACCCCGAGGAAAAGAAAUCAACCGAGAUUCCCCCAGUAGCGGCGAGCGAACGGGGAGCAGCCCGGAGUCUGAAUCAGCUUGUGUGUUAGUGGAACGGUCUGGAAAGUCCGACGGUACAGGGUGAUAGUCCCGUACACGAAAGCACACUUGCUGUGAACUCGAAGAGUAGGGCGGGACACGUGGUAUCCUGUCUGAAUAUGGGGGGACCAUCCUCCAAGGCUAAAUACUCCUGACUGACCGAUAGUGAACCAGUACCGUGAGGGAAAGGCGAAAAGAACCCCGGCGAGGGGAGUGAAAAAGAACCUGAAACCGUGUACGUACAAGCAGUGGGAGCACCUUCGUGGUGUGACUGCGUACCUUUUGUAUAAUGGGUCAGCGACUUAUAUUCUGUAGCAAGGUUAACCGUAUAGGGGAGCCGAAGGGAAACCGAGUCUUAACUGGGCGUUAAGUUGCAGGGUAUAGACCCGAAACCCGGUGAUCUAGCCAUGGGCAGGUUGAAGGUUGGGUAACACUAACUGGAGGACCGAACCGACUAAUGUUGAAAAAUUAGCGGAUGACCUGUGGCUGGGGGUGAAAGGCCAAUCAAACCGGGAGAUAGCUGGUUCUCCCCGAAAGCUAUUUAGGUAGCGCCUCGUGAACUCAUCUUCGGGGGUAGAGCACUGUUUCGGCUAGGGGGCCAUCCCGGCUUACCAACCCGAUGCAAACUACGAAUACCGAAGAAUGUUAUCACGGGAGACACACGGCGGGUGCUAACGUCCGUCGUGAAGAGGGAAACAACCCAGACCGCCAGCUAAGGUCCCAAAGUCAUGGUUAAGUGGGAAACGAUGUGGGAAGGCACAGACAGCCAGGAUGUUGGCUUAGAAGCAGCCAUCAUUUAAAGAAAGCGUAAUAGCUCACUGGUCGAGUCGGCCUGCGCGGAAGAUGUAACGGGGCUAAACCAUGCACCGAAGCUGCGGCAGCGACACUAUGUGUUGUUGGGUAGGGGAGCGUUCUGUAAGCCGUUGAAGGUGUGCUGUGAGGCAUGCUGGAGGUAUCAGAAGUGCGAAUGCUGACAUAAGUAACGAUAAAGCGGGUGAAAAGCCCGCUCGCCGGAAGACCAAGGGUUCCUGUCCAACGUUAAUCGGGGCAGGGUGAGUCGACCCCUAAGGCGAGGCCGAAAGGCGUAGUCGAUGGGAAACAGGUUAAUAUUCCUGUACUUGGUGUUACUGCGAAGGGGGGACGGAGAAGGCUAUGUCAGCCGGGCGACGGUUGUCCCGGUUUAAGCAUGUAGGCGGAGGUUCCAGGUAAAUCCGGUACCUUAUUAACGCUGAGGUGUGAUGACGAGGCACUACGGUGCUGAAGUGAUAAAUGCCCUGCUUCCAGGAAAAGCCUCUAAGCAUCAGGUAACACGAAAUCGUACCCCAAACCGACACAGGUGGUCAGGUAGAGAAUACCAAGGCGCUUGAGAGAACUCGGGUGAAGGAACUAGGCAAAAUGGUGCCGUAACUUCGGGAGAAGGCACGCUGAUGUGUAGGUGAAGCCCCUGCGGGCGGAGCUGAAAUCAGUCGAAGAUACCAGCUGGCUGCAACUGUUUAUUAAAAACACAGCACUGUGCAAACACGAAAGUGGACGUAUACGGUGUGACGCCUGCCCGGUGCCGGAAGGUUAAUUGAUGGGGUUAGCUGUAAGGCGAAGCUCUUGAUCGAAGCCCCGGUAAACGGCGGCCGUAACUAUAACGGUCCUAAGGUAGCGAAAUUCCUUGUCGGGUAAGUUCCGACCUGCACGAAUGGCGUAAUGAUGGCCAGGCUGUCUCCACCCGAGACUCAGUGAAAUUGAACUCGCUGUGAAGAUGCAGUGUACCCGCGGCAAGACGGAAAGACCCCGUGAACCUUUACUAUAGCUUGACACUGAACACUGGUCCUUGAUGUGUAGGAUAGGUGGGAGGCUUUGAAGCGUGGACGCCAGUCUGCGUGGAGCCGCCCUUGAAAUACCACCCUUUAAUGGCUGGUGUUCUAACGUAGACCCGUAAUCCGGGUUGCGGACAGUGUCUGGUGGGUAGUUUGACUGGGGCGGUCUCCUCCCAAAGAGUAACGGAGGAGCACGAAGGUUGGCUAAUCCUGGUCGGACAUCAGGAGGUUAGUGCAAUGGCAUAAGCCAGCUUGACUGCGAGCGUGACGGCGCGAGCAGGUGCGAAAGCAGGUCAUAGUGAUCCGGUGGUUCUGAAUGGAAGGGCCAUCGCUCAACGGAUAAAAGGUACUCCGGGGAUAACAGGCUGAUACCGCCCAAGAGUUCAUAUCGACGGCGGUGUUUGGCACCUCGAUGUCGGCUCAUCACAUCCUGGGGCUGAAGUAGGUCCCAAGGGUAUGGCUGUUCGCCAUUUAAAGUGGUACGCGAGCUGGGUUUAGAACGUCGUGAGACAGUUCGGUCCCUAUCUGCCGUGGGCGCUGGAGAAUUGAGGGGGGCUGCUCCUAGUACGAGAGGACCGGAGUGGACGCAUCACUGGUGUUCGGGUUGUCAUGCCAAUGGCACUGCCCGGUAGCUAAAUGCGGAAGAGAUAAGUGCUGAAAGCAUCUAAGCACGAAACUUGCCCCGAGAUGAGUUCUCCCUGAGACUUUAAGUCUCCUGAAGGAACGUUGAAGACGACGACGUUGAUAGGUCGGGUGUGUAAGCGCAGCGAUGCGUUGAGCUAACCGAUACUAAUGAACCGUGAGGCUUAACCUU